GACGAACGCUGGCGGCGUGCUUAACACAUGCAAGUCGAGCGAUGAAGCACCUUCGGGUGUGAAUUAGCGGCGAACGGGUGAGGAACACGUGAGAAAUCUGCCUUCAACACUGGGAUAACUCCGGGAAACCGGGGCUAAUACCGGAUAUGAAACUUGGUGGCAUCACCGAGUUUGGAAAGUUUUUCGGUAGAAGAUGACCUCGCGGCCUAUCAGCUUGUUGGUGAGGUAAUGGCUCACCAAGGCGACGACGGGUAGCCGGCCUGAGAGGGCGACCGGCCACACUGGGACUGAGACACGGCCCAGACUCCUACGGGAGGCAGCAGUGGGGAAUAUUGGGGCAAUGGAGGAAACUCUGACCCAGCGACGCCGCGUGCGGGAUGAAAGGCCUUCGGGUGUAAACCGCUUUCAGUCAGGGAAGAAGCGAAAGUGACGGUACCUGCAGAAGAAGCACCGGCUAACUAUGUGCCAG
rnacentral:rRNA from 1 species